CGCUCUAGCUGGGGGCACGGAGGGGACCCUAGGGUGCUCUCGACCUGACUCCUCGCUUCUUUCUCCCCGACUUCCGAAACAGGUUACCUUGUCCACGCUCUCCAGACCACGCUUUGGACUUUCUCACUUUUAUUUAAGAGUCCAUCCGGAGAAGGAGGGGAAAAAAUCCAGAGGAGAUCCGAAUCAAUUGGAAAGAAAAAAUUUCAAAAGGGUGUCCACAGCGACGAAAAAGCCCAGACUUUGCCGACCUUCAAACGACAACAAGGCUUUCAGGAGGGCGCGAGGAGACCGCUUCCCACCCAGAUCCGACCAGAAAACCGGCACCCUCGGCCACAUUCCCCCUCUUGCAGGCAGAGAGAACGCCACUCUACCACCGGAGGCCCCCUUCCUGGCGCUGGGCAAACACUCAGGCCCUUAAUGGCCACCGCAGGCCAGCCAGCGGCUCCCCUUUCUACACUCAGUCCUCCCCCCAGUACUUGAGAAGCUACCCCUGUGGCAAAACAUUGGCCAGGCAGCUCUUCCCAGCUCCUACCCCAACAGCUAAUAACAGACUGCAUUCCCUGCUCUGGUCAGUAAGUCACCCCAACAUCCCUCGUACCCCCUCAACUCCUUUUAGCAGAAGCUGCCUCUCCCCUUGGGAGAACUCAAAUGAAGACUUGCCCUCCUGUCUGA